rnacentral:rRNA from 1 species
AGUAGCCGCGGUAAUUCCAGCUCCAAUAGCGUAUAUUAAAGUUGUUGCAGUUAAAAAGCUCGUAGUUGAAUUUCGGGGUCAGUAGGUUGGUCGUGCCACUGGUAUGUACUGGCUUCACUGAUUCCUCCCUCUUGUAGAACCGUAAUGCCAUUAAGUUGGUGUUGUGGGGAAACAGGACCGUUACUUUGAAAAAAUUAGAGUGUUUAAAGCAGGCUAACGCUUGAAUACAUUAGCAUGGAAUAAUGAAAUAGGACGUUUGAUCCUAUUUUGUUGGUUUCUAGGAUUGACGUAAUGAUUAAUAGGGAUAGUUGGGGGCAUUAGUAUUCAAUUGUCAGAGGUGAAAUUCUUGGAUUUAUUGAAGACUAACUACUGCGAAAGCAUUUGCCAAGGAUGUUUUCAUUAAUCAAGAACGAAAGUUAGGGGAUCGAAGACGAUCAGAUACCGUCGUAG